GUCUUUUGCUGUUGUUGUUGUUGUUAUUGCUAUUUCUUGGGCCGCUCCCGCGGCAUAUGGAGGUUCCCAGGCUAGGGGUCGAAUCGGAGCUGUAGCCACCGGCCUACGCCAGAGCCACAGCAACGCAGGAUCCGAGCCGCGUCUGCAACCUACACCACAGCUCACGGCAACGCCGGAUCCUUAACCCACUGAGCAAGGGCAGGGACCGAACCCGCAACCUCAUGGUUCCUAGUCGGAUUCGUUAACCACUGCGCCACGACGGGAACUCCUGGAACUUCUAAUACAAUGUUGAAAAGGAGUGAGAGGAGACAGUGUUUCUUUGUACCUGAUCUCAGUGGGAAAUCUUCAAGUUUCUUACCCUUAAGUAUAAGGGAUGGACCUUCCUAUCUCUUGUCAAUGCCCACCAGAGGACAGCCAUUGCAGAAAGUGCUGAAGAGCUAGGUGGACAGGCAGGCUCGUCCAUAGAUGUCAGCCAGUCUCGGUCCUCAGUGGCUUCAGUGCUUAGACAAUGAACCCAUUUAAGAAGCAGUCACAGUGGCAGGGAGGAGGCUCUAUAUGGAGCCCCUCUCAACAAUGCUCAGUUAGCUACUGCUGCUGAUGAAUAUUCAAAUUAUCAGCAGUAGAAAAAAUUUGUGCUACGGGUUUGCCUUACCUGUCCACCAAGCUUCUGCCAAUGCCACCAAUGAGGGCUCACAUGGGAUUCUGCCUAACUUUGCCUCAGACCAAGGGACCCAUUUGGCUAAAGUCAGAAAUAUGACAAUGGGAAUAAGGACACAAGCUCUGUUGGUCCCAUCUUGUAAGGCAUCACUUGGAAGUUGCCAGAUUACUAAAUUUUGGAAUUAUGUGACAGCAUGCCCUAUGGGGCUGAGGUGUUGUCCUUCAUGAUAUAAUACAUAUAUUGAACCAACAACCAGAUCACAUAAUUCUAAGAAUCAAAGGGUAUAAAUAGGAGUGGCUCCUCUCACCAUUAUUUGGUUACUCACUUGAGGAUUCUGUGUUUCCAGAUUCUAUAGCUUUUAGGCUCUGGACAUUAGUGUUCAUUUGGGAGCCCUUUAAGUCCAUGGACUAGAGGCAAAGAAAGGAGUUAGCACACUGGCAAAGGGUAAAUAACCCUAAUCAUCACAAGGAGUUUGGAUUGUUGCUACAUAAUGAGGCAGUAAGAAGUUUUUCUGGACUCGGGAUUUAUAGGGGUGUUUUUUUGGUGAUAUUUAGGGACAAUAGUAAGUGGGAAAUUCCACAAGUUCGGCACGACAACUGCAAAAUAAUCAUGGACUCAGACCCCUAAGAGAGGAAGGUCUGGCUCAUCUCACCAAGCAAGCAAUUCUGACUAGCAGAAAUGCUAGCCGAGGGCGAAGGGGAAUCUAUAUAGGUGGAAAUUUGCCACAGUGCCUGAGGGGCAUCCCCAGCAGGACUGAGCCUUAGGUGCCUAUAGUGGUGACUCUCAAUUUGUUUCAAGUCCUGAGGACCUCCUGGAAUCACUUACCAAAUAAACUACCUACACCCAAAUCCUUAUCCUAAGGUCUGCAUUUGAAAGAACCCAAGUAAGACCCUUUUCAACAAGGUUAUCAUGUAAACCCACACAGCUAUGGUCAAUUAAUCUACAACAAAGGCAGCAAGUAUAUACAAUGGAGAAAAGACAGUCUCUUCAAUAAGUGAUGUUGGGAAAACUGGACAGUUACAUAUAAAAGAAUGAGAUGACAACAUUUUCUUACACUAUACACAAAAAUAAACUCAAAAUGGAUUAAAGACCUAAAUAUAGACUGGAUACUAUAAAACUCUUAAGAGGAAAACAUAGGCGGAAUACCCUUUGACAUAAAUCACAGCAAUAUCUUUUUGGGUCAACCAUCUAAGAGUAAUGAAAAUAAAAACAAAAAAUAAAGAAAUGAGAUCUUAUUACACUUAAAAGGUUUUUUAUGCAAAGGAAACCAUAAACAAAACAAAAAGACAACCCACAGGAUGGGAGAAAAUAUUUGCAAAUGAAGCAACCAACAAGGGAUAAAUCUCCAAAAUAUACAAACAGCUCAUGCAACUCGAUAUUAAAAAAAAACUCCAAAAAACAACUCAAUCAAAAAAUGGGCAGAAGAUCUAAAUAGACAUUUCUCCAAAGAAGACAUACAGAUAGCCAAAGCAAAUGAAAAGAUCCUCAGCAUCACUUAUUAGAGAAAUGCACAUCAAAACUACAAUGAGGUAUCACUCCACACCAGUCAGAAUGGCCAUCAUCAAAAAGUCUACAAACAAUAAAUGCUGGAGAAGGAGUGGAGAAAAAGAAACCCUCUUGCACUACUUCUGGGAAUGGAAAUUGGUGCAGCUACCAUGGAGAACACAGUAUGGAAAUUCCUUUAAAAAAAUAAAAAUAGAACUACCAUAUGAUUGAGCAAUCCCACUCCUGGGCAUAUAUCUGGAGAAAACCAUAAUUCAAAGAGAUACAUGAAUCCCUAUGUUCACUGAAGCACUGUUUACAAUAGCCAAGUCAUGGAAACAACCGUAAGGUUCAUCAACAGAGGAAUGGAUAAAGAAGAUGUGGUAUGUACAUACAAUGGAAUAUUACUCAGCCAUAAAAAGGAAUGAAAUAAUGCCAUUUGCAGCAACAUGACUGGACCUAGAAAUUAUAGUAACUAAAGUAACUCAGACCAAGAGAAAUAUCAUAUGUUAUCAUCUAAAUGUAGAAUCUAAAAAAAUGAUACAAAUCAACUUAUUACACAACAGAAACGGACCCACAGAUGUUGCAAACAAACUUAUGGUUACCAAAGAGGAAAGGUUGGGGGGAGGGAUAAAUUAGGAGUUUAGGAUUGACAUAUACAUACUAGUAUAUGUAAAAUAGAUAACCAAUGAGGACCUACUGUAUGGCACAUGGAACUCUACUCAACAUUCUGUAAUAACCUAUAUAAGAAUCUGGAAAAGAAUGGAUGUGUGUAUAUGUAUAGCUGACUCACUUUGCUGUUCACCUGAAACUAAUACGAUAUUGUAAAUCAACUAUACUUCAAUAAAAAAUAAAAAUAAAUUAAAAAACCCCCAAGGUUAGGCAUUCCCUUUGCGGCUCAGUGGGUUAAGGACCCGUGUCUCCGUGAGGAUUUGGGUUCAAUCCCUGGCCUCACUCAGUGAGUUGAGGAUCUGGCAUUGAAGCAAGCUGUGCUAUAGAUUGCAGAUGUAGCUAGGAUCUGGUGUUGACGUGGCUAUGGCACAGGCACCAGCUGCAGCUCUGAUCUGAGCCCCACCCCCAGCUUGGGAACUUCCAUAUGUCACAAGUGCAGCCACAAAAAGAAAAAAAAAAAAAAAAAUCCAAACCAAUAAGGUUUUCAUGGUCUCUGACAAGCACCUUGCUGCAAUCCUGAUACACUCUUAUCUCCUCUUUCUCCUAAAAGACAAAUGAGUUUGCUAUGAUUUCUUGCUAGGGAGACCUAUGCUGGCGCCUGGUGAUUAUAAGUUUCUUCUCUAAAUACUCAUCAAAAGCCACUUAAUAAAGCUAUUAACUUGACAGCAGGCCCAUUGCUACUUUUAAACAUAAAGGAUUUUCGAAUUCCAAUUUUGCUUGUCCAAUACUGGUGAGGUUUUAUCUAUAAAAUACUGAAACAUUUUUUUCUACAUGGUAUUGAAAAUAAUUUUGUUUAAAUAUUAUCUAAAUACUAUUUUUGUCUAAAUACUAAAAAAUAUCUUGCUGAGAUGGUUCUUAUUCU
rnacentral:lncRNA from 1 species